CUGUAGUAAUAAUAAACGUGCUGUAGCUCUUCACUGUUAGCUUUCUCUUAGAUGACAUUUGUCAUGUUUAAUUACAGAGUAAAAAUAGAAAAAAGUCCACUUCGCAGCAUUGCUUUGCAACUAUAAGUGCCAGAAAAAAGUUGAUAAAAGGAAAAUUUCUUCUUAAAAUUAAAAACUUUCUACAUCACAGAACAAAGCCUAAGAUCAUACUUUUACUUGAUUUCGUGCUACAAAGCAUAAACGUGAAGAAUCUGUUUGGAAACAGACACCUAACAGCCUUAUCAUCACGGUUGUUAAAGAAUGAGAUAAGCAAAUUGUGCUUAGCUUCGGGAUAUGAAACGAGUCUUGAUAUAUAAGUUCGGUUUGAUUUUCUGCGCUUUUUAAUGAAAAUUUUAUAUAAAACACUUACUUAGACGAUUUCUUCUUCAAAUUAGGUGAAUAACAACUUCAUCUGUUAACAGCCUUUUAGAUCCGUGUAUUCAAUCUGUGACAGCCAGAACAACAUGGCAAAGAUGAUAUAAAGGCUCUCUGCCGAGUCCGUUUGCUCACGUAUUUGUCUUCACGCUUCGUUGACGGUCAGAAACACAGAUUUGAAAAUGAGAUAAGUUUGUCCGCCACCACGCACUCAUUAAACCUCGAUCUGAAAUUUUUUGUGAGCCCUCAGCAGAGACUUGGAAAACCCUAAUUCGCCUAUAAACAAGUUAUAUUAAACAGAAAACUGCAAUUUAUGGCUUAGGUGAGAUGUUUAUAUAAAAACCCGAUACCUAGAAUCUUAAACACUUUCGAGUCUCAUUUGUUCUUGAUAAGCAAACUGACUAAAAGUGGUAUAUAAAAUAUACUCUAGUGCUUUGUGAUAUGGCUUGAAUAAAUGUAGACUAAAGAUUGGUCCUAAGGAGAUUAUUAAAUCAUUUUUUUUCUUCAUUUGUGGUCAAGCAUUCAGAAAUCUUUGGCAUUUAGAGUACAUGCGAGCAAAGAGAGAGAUUAUGAUUAGCAUGAUUUCACUAAAGAAAUUUUCAAAUAUCAUUGCAAAAUCAGCUUUUCCUGUCAAUUUAAUAGAAGAAGGAACAAAAAAAAAAAAA